UACGUAGGGAGCAAGCGUUGUCCGGAAUCAUUGGGCGUAAAGGGCGCGUAGGCGGCCACGCACGUCCGUUGUGAAAUCGCCCGGCUCAACUGGGCGGGGUCGGCGGAUACGGCGUGGCUGGAGCAAGCUAGGGGGCAAUGGAAUUCCCGGUGUAGUGGUGGAAUGCGUAGAUAUCGGGAGGAACACCAGUGGCGAAGGCGGUUGCCUGGAGCUUUGCUGACGCUGAGGCGCGAAAGCGUGGGGAGCGAUCCGG
rnacentral:rRNA from 1 species